rnacentral:rRNA from 1 species
ACGCUAGCUACAGGCUUAACACAUGCAAGUCGAGGGGAAACGGCAUUAAGUGCUUGCACUUUUUGGACGUCGACCGGCGCACGGGUGAGUAACGCGUAUCCAACCUUCCCAUGACUAAGGGAUAACCUGCCGAAAGGCAGACUAAUACCUUAUGGUCUUCACUGACGGCAUCAGAUGUGAAGUAAAGAUUUAUCGGUUAUGGAUGGGGAUGCGUCUGAUUAGCUUGUUGGCGGGGUAACGGCCCACCAAGGCAACGAUCAGUAGGGGUUCUGAGAGGAAGGUCCCCCACAUUGGAACUGAGACACGGUCCAAACUCCUACGGGAGGCAGCAGUGAGGAAUAUUGGUCAAUGGGCGAGAGCCUGAACCAGCCAAGUAGCGUGCAGGAAGACGGCCCUAUGGGUUGUAAACUGCUUUUGUAUGGGGAUAAAGUCAAUCACGUGUGAUUGUUUGCAGGUACCAUACGAAUAAGGACCGGCUAAUUCCGUGCCAGCAGCCGCGGUAAUACGGAAGGUCCGGGCGUUAUCCGGAUUUAUUGGGUUUAAAGGGAGCGUAGGCUGGAGAUUAAGUGUGUUGUGAAAUGUAGACGCUCAACGUCUGACUUGCAGCGCAUACUGGUUUCCUUGAGUACGCACAACGUUGGCGGAAUUCGUCGUGUAGCGGUGAAAUGCUUAGAUAUGACGAAGAACUCCGAUUGCGAAGGCAGCUGACGGGAGCGCAACAGACGCUGAAGCUCGAAGGUGCGGGUAUCGAACAGGAUUAGAUACCCUGGUAGUCCGCACAGUAAACGAUGGAUGCCCGCUGUUGGUACGUGGUAUCAGCGGCUAAGCGAAAGCAUUAAGCAUCCCACCUGGGGAGUACGCCGGCAACGGUGAAACUCAAAGGAAUUGACGGGGGCCCGCACAAGCG